GAGAAACUUUGUCUGAACAUGGGGGGACCAUCCUCCAAGGCUAAAUACUACUGACUGACCGAUAGUGAACCAGUACCGUGAGGGAAAGGCGAAAAGAACCCCGGAGAGGGGAGUGAAAUAGAACCUGAAACCGUAUGCGUACAAGCAGUGGGAGCCUACUUGUUAGGUGACUGCGUACCUUUUGUAUAAUGGGUCAGCGACUUAUAUUCAGUGGCAAGCUUAACCGUAUAGGGUAGGCGUAGCGAAAGCGAGUCUUAAUAGGGCGUUUAGUCGCUGGGUAUAGACCCGAAACCGGGCGAUCUAUCCAUGAGCAGGUUGAAGGUUAGGUAACACUGACUGGAGGACCGAACCCACUCCCGUUGAAAAGGUAGGGGAUGACUUGUGGAUCGGAGUGAAAGGCUAAUCAAGCUCGGAGAUAGCUGGUUCUCCUCGAAAGCUAUUUAGGUAGCGCCUCAUGUAUCACUCUGGGGGGUAGAGCACUGUUUCGGCUAGGGGGUCAUCCCGACUUACCAAACCGAUGCAAACUCCGAAUACCCAGAAGUGCCGAGCAUGGGAGACACACGGCGGGUGCUAACGUCCGUCGUGAAAAGGGAAACAACCCAGACCGCCAGCUAAGGUCCCAAAGUUGUGGUUAAGUGGUAAACGAUGUGGGAAGGCUUAGACAGCUAGGAGGUUGGCUUAGAAGCAGCCAUCCUUUAAAGAAAGCGUAAUAGCUCACUAGUCGAGUCGGCCUGCGCGGAAGAUGUAACGGGGCUCAAACCACACACCGAAGCUGCGGGUGUCACGUAAGUGACGCGGUAGAGGAGCGUUCUGUAAGCCUGUGAAGGUGAGUUGAGAAGCUUGCUGGAGGUAUCAGAAGUGCGAAUGCUGACAUGAGUAACGACAAUGGGUGUGAAAAACACCCACGCCGAAAGACCAAGGGUUCCUGCGCAACGUUAAUCGACGCAGGGUUAGUCGGUUCCUAAGGCGAGGCUGAAAAGCGUAGUCGAUGGGAAACAGGUUAAUAUUCCUGUACUUCUGGUUACUGCGAUGGAGGGACGGAGAAGGCUAGGCCAGCUUGGCGUUGGUUGUCCAAGUUUAAGGUGGUAGGCUGAAAUCUUAGGUAAAUCCGGGGUUUCAAGGCCGAGAGCUGAUGACGAGUCGUCUUUUAGAUGACGAAGUGGUUGAUGCCAUGCUUCCAAGAAAAGCUUCUAAGCUUCAGGUAACCAGGAACCGUACCCCAAACCGACACAGGUGGUCGGGUAGAGAAUACCAAGGCGCUUGAGAGAACUCGGGUGAAGGAACUAGGCAAAAUGGCACCGUAACUUCGGGAGAAGGUGCGCCGGCUAGGGUGAAGGAUUUACUCCGUAAGCUCUGGCUGGUCGAAGAUACCAGGCCGCUGCGACUGUUUAUUAAAAACACAGCACUCUGCAAACACGAAAGUGGACGUAUAGGGUGUGACGCCUGCCCGGUGCCGGAAGGUUAAUUGAUGGGGUUAGCGCAAGCGAAGCUCUUGAUCGAAGCCCCGGUAAACGGCGGCCGUAACUAUAACGGUCCUAAGGUAGCGAAAUUCCUUGUCGGGUAAGUUCCGACCUGCACGAAUGGCGUAACGAUGGCGGCGCUGUCUCCACCCGAGACUCAGUGAAAUUGAAAUCGCUGUGAAGAUGCAGUGUAUCCGCGGCUAGACGGAAAGACCCCGUGAACCUUUACUGUAGCUUUGCACUGGACUUUGAGCCUGCUUGUGUAGGAUAGGUGGGAGGCUUUGAAGCGUGGACGCCAGUUCGCGUGGAGCCAUCCUUGAAAUACCACCCUGGCAUGCUUGAGGUUCUAACUCUGGUCCGUAAUCCGGAUCGAGGACAGUGUAUGGUGGGCAGUUUGACUGGGGCGGUCUCCUCCUAAAGAGUAACGGAGGAGUACGAAGGUGCGCUCAGACCGGUCGGAAAUCGGUCGCAGAGUAUAAAGGCAAAAGCGCGCUUGACUGCGAGACAGACACGUCGAGCAGGUACGAAAGUAGGUCUUAGUGAUCCGGUGGUUCUGUAUGGAAGGGCCAUCGCUCAACGGAUAAAAGGUACUCCGGGGAUAACAGGCUGAUACCGCCCAAGAGUUCAUAUCGACGGCGGUGUUUGGCACCUCGAUGUCGGCUCAUCACAUCCUGGGGCUGA
rnacentral:rRNA from 1 species